rnacentral:rRNA from 1 species
AUUGAACGCUGGCGGCAUGCCUUACACAUGCAAGUCGAACGGCAGCACGGACUUCGGUCUGGUGGCGAGUGGCGAACGGGUGAGUAAUACAUCGGAACGUGCCUAGUAGUGGGGGAUAACUACUCGAAAGAGUGGCUAAUACCGCAUGAGAUCUAUGGAUGAAAGCAGGGGACCUUAGGGCCUUGUGCUACUGGAGCGGCCGAUGGCAGAUUAGGUAGUUGGUGGGAUAAAAGCUUACCAAGCCGACGAUCUGUAGCUGGUCUGAGAGGACGAUCAGCCACACUGGGACUGAGACACGGCCCAGACUCCUACGGGAGGCAGCAGUGGGGAAUUUUGGACAAUGGGCGCAAGCCUGAUCCAGCAAUGCCGCGUGCAGGAUGAAGGCC